AAAAAAAAAAAAAUCUUUCGUCACUGAAAUCGUGGCUCGGUGCUGCAUACGUUCAUAGAAAAUGACUAGCUUUGCUAGUGUGAAUGCAGGGACAGGAAUGUUUAUUUGUUGGUCAAAUAUAUAUAUUUUUGGGGGGUAAGAAAUGAAGAAAGGAGGCCUGCCUGAGUCACAGAUCCAGCUCAUCACUUAUUCAUGGUUAUAUUCCACGCGUUUAUGGGGCCGUAACAUGGAGCCGUUUUGAUUCUAUAUACGGUGUUUAUCACGCGUCCGUCAAGGACACCAAGCUUCUCAGAACGUGUGGUAUAUUGAUGCUAUUAUUGUGUGAAACAACUUUAUAACAGCACAAAAUCCUGUGUGAACACCUUGAAAUUCCUGCUGGUCGUUUAAUGCUAAAGCUGUUUGUGUGUUUAUAAAUGAAAAAAGCUGUUUAAAAAAAAAAAAAAAAAAAGUAUACAAUGCAUAACCGGUGCUGCAUUUUACCAUCAAAGACCAUAAACACACUUGGUGGUGUUGUGUUUACAAUAAUUGACAAUCCAUAUCUCAUUAUGUGUGUUCUACUGUUCAUUUGAGAGAAAUCCCUUUAUGAGUGUUUAUACAACCUCCAGAGAACUACUCCUACUUCCACAGUCACAGGAAACCAGGAACUGCUACAUGACUCCACUACGUGAUGGACAUCUUCUGACAUGAUGACUUUAGAUCACCGCUUGCUCUGACCGAUAAAAAUCCAGUUGGUGGCAAACUGCUGCAGUAUAAGAGGAAUAAAACACACACCUCUGAACAGGCCGUGAUCGGAACACGACCAGCUUGAGGUGUUGGUGAAGUAGAAAUGUUCUGGGGUUAUCUUCUCACUACAGUACAGACGGUAUCGACAGAUUUCGACUCCUCCUUCCGUGUAUGCUCCUGCUGUUUUUCACAUUAGCGCUUUGAAGAGACACACUCCGAACAACGGCGUGGAAAGAUCAGCCGACGCUUCAGCCGUGUCUGCGGCAUCCUUCCUUCACAGCAGGCCACACUCGAGCGGGAUGAAGGCAGAGGAGUUCAGCCUCGCUUUUCUGAAUCCUCCGUAGUGA
ensembl:lncRNA